CAAGAGCAGGGCAAGAGAAACCAGAGGGCAUUGGGUUGAGGGACCACAGAGCAUCCUCCUUCAGUGCUGCUCUCAAGCUCUCCUGAGCCUCUGGAAGCAAAGGAGAAAAACAACCCACCAGUAACCGGAAGGAGCACGAGAAAGUAAAGAAGCCAUCUGUCAAAUGCCCAUAGUCUCUGAGAAUGGAGUCCUAACCAAAGGCACCUAGGACACAUCUCACUGAGGGAAAAAUAAGGACUUGGGAAGUCAAUUCCCAGGCCACCAUUAUAUGGACCUAUGAACUCAUCCACCAUGCAUUUAUAGUACCAGGCAUGGAUUCUGUGGAGUGGAACUUAAAUCUGAUCAUCGAGUAGUUGGUGGCCCCAUAACAGCACUACCACUGUGUACA